CUUACAGGCCUUGAAUCCAAUGAACUUUCAGAGAUGGAUUGGUGCUUCGGAAGAUUGAGAAGGUGCUGAUGGUUGUCGUCAGCUCGUGUCGUGAGAUGUUGGAUUAAGUCCCGUAACGAGCGCAACCCUUGUCCUUAGUUACCAGCACGUAAUGGUGGGCACUCUAAGGAGACUGCCGGUGACAAACCGGAGUAAGGUGGCUAUGACGUCAAGUCUUAAUGGGCCCUUACGGCCUGGGCUACACACGUGCUACAAUGGUCGGUACAAGAGGUUGCCAAGCCGCGAGGGGGAGCUAAUCCCAGAAAACCGAUCGUAGUCCGGCUCGCAGUCUGCAAACCGACUGGCUUGAAGUCGGAAUCGCUAGUAAUCGCGAUCAGAAUGUCGCGGUGUAUACGUUCCCGGGCCGUGGACACACCGGCCGUCACACCAUGGGAGUGGGUUGCACCAGAAGUAGCUUGUCUAACCUUCGGGGGGACGGUUACCACGGUGUGAUUCAUGACUUGAAUGAGUCGAAACCAUGUUAACCGUA
rnacentral:rRNA from 1 species